rnacentral:rRNA from 1 species
GAGUUUGAUCGUGGCUCAGAUUGAACGCUGGCGGCAUGCCUUACACAUGCAAGUCGAACGGCAGCACGGGAGCUUGCUCCUGGUGGCGAGUGGCGAACGGGUGAGUAAUGCAUCGGAACGUAUCCUGGAGUGGGGGAUAACGUAGCGAAAGUUACGCUAAUACCGCAUAUUCUGUGAGCAGGAAAGCGGGGGACCUUCGGGCCUCGCGCUCUUGGAGCGGCCGAUGUCGGAUUAGCUAGUUGGUGAGGUAAAGGCUCACCAAGGCGACGAUCCGUAGCAGGUCUGAGAGGAUGAUCUGCCACACUGGAACUGAGACA